UACGAAGGGGCUAGCGUUGCUCGGAAUCACUGGGCGUAAAGCGCACGUAGGCGGAUCUUUUAAGUCAGGGGUGAAAUCCUGGAGCUCAACUCCAGAACUGCCUUUGAUACUGGGGAUCUCGAGUCCGGAAGAGGUGAGUGGAACUCCGAGUGUAGAGGUGAAAUUCGUAGAUAUUCGGAAGAACACCAGUGGCGAAGGCGGCUCACUGGUCCGGUACUGACGCUGAGGUGCGAAAGCGUGGGGAGCAAACAGG
rnacentral:rRNA from 1 species